rnacentral:rRNA from 1 species
CAGUCGCCGCGCGGUAAUACAGAGGAUGCAAGCGUUAUCCGGAAUGAUUGGGCGUAAAGCGUCUGUAGGUGGCUUUUCAAGUCCGCCGUCAAAUCCCCGGGCUCAACCCUGGACAGGCAGUGGAAACUACCAAGCUGGAGUACGGUAGGGGCAGAGGGAAUUUCCGGUGGAGUAGUGAAAUGCGUUGAGAUUGGAAAGAACACCAAUGGCAAAAGCACUCUGCUAGGCUGACACUUACACUGAGAGACGAAAGCUAGGGGAGAAAAUGGGAUUAGAUACCCGGGUAGUCCCUGUCUCUUAU